rnacentral:rRNA from 1 species
UACGAGGGGGGCAAAUGUUGUUCGGAAUCACUGGGCGUAAAGGGAGCGUAGGCGGGUUUUUAAGUCAGGUGUUUAAUCCCGGGGCCCAACCCCGGACCGGCACUUGAAACUGGGAAUCUUGAAUAGGGGAGAGGUCAGUGGAAUUGGAGGUGUAGCGGUGGAAUGCGCAGAUAUCAGGAAGAACACCCGUGGCGAAGGCGGCUCUCUGGAACGCAACUGACGCUGAGACGCGAAAGCGUGGGGAGCAAACAGG